AUUUGAAAUCUGGCCCUAGGCCCGAAUUGUAGUUUGCAGAGGACGCUCUGGGCGAGGCGCCUUCCGAGUUCCCUGGAACGGGACGCCAUAGAGGGUGAGAGCCCCGUACGGUCGGACGCCAAGCCUAUGUAGAGCUCCUUCGACGAGUCGAGUAGUUUGGGAAUGCUGCUCAAAACGGGAGGUAUAUGUCUUCUAAAGCUAAAUACCGGCCAGAGACCGAUAGCGCACAAGUAGAGUGAUCGAAAGAUGAAAAGCACUUUGGAAAGAGGGUUAAAGAGUACGUGAAAUUGUUGAAAGGGAAGCGCCCACGACCAGACUUGGGCCUGGCAGACCAACCGGCGUUCUCGCUGGGGCGCGCUGCCAGGCACAGGCCAGCAUCAGCCUGGCGCGGGGGAUAAAGGCGGCGGGAACGUGGCUCCCCUGUGGAGUGUUAUAGCCCACCGUGUAAUGCCCUGGGCCAGGCUGAGGAUCGCGCAUUUGCAAGGAUGCUGGCGUAAUGGUCGCGAGCGACCCGUCUUGAAACACGGACCAAGGAGUCGUCCUCGUAUGCGAGUGUUGGGGUGGUAAACCCCCACGCGGAAUGAAAGUGAACGUAGGUGAGAGCUUCGGCGCAUCACCGACCGAUCCUGAUGUUCUCGGAUGGAUUUGAGUAAGAGCAUACGGGGCCGGACCCGAAAGAAGGUGAACUAUGCCUGUGUAGGGUGAAGCCAGAGGAAACUCUGGUGGAGGCUCGCAGCGGUUCUGACGUGCGAAUCGAUCGUCAAACAUGGGCAUGGGGGCGAAAGACUAAUCGAACCUUCUAGUAGCUGGUUCC
rnacentral:rRNA from 1 species